UACGUAGGGGGCAAGCGUUGUCCGGAAUCAUUGGGCGUAAAGAGCGUGUAGGCGGCCCGAUAAGUCCGCCGUGAAAGUCCAGGGCUCAACCCUGGAAUGCCGGUGGAAACUGUCGGGCUGGAGUCCGGAAGAGGCGAGUGGAAUUCCGUGGUGUAGCGGUGAAAUGCGCAGAUAUCAGGAGGAACACCAAUGGCGAAGGCAGCUCGCUGGGACGGUACUGACGCUGAGACGCGAAAGCGUGGGGAGCAAACAGG
rnacentral:rRNA from 1 species